AUUUUCCAGUGUUGCCACUUGAUACCAUACUAGUGUUGUUGCAAUAGUGACUUCUCAUAAAAAAAAAACAUGCAAAAGCAAAAUCAUUAGUAGAAUACCUUAGCCAUUACAGAAAUAUGAUACAAAUAUACAAGCAAAGUUAUGAAAAGCUUGCAACAACUGGAAGAAAACUGCCAGUAAGGAAUUGGGCUAUAACAUUCAAACCGUCUACAAUACUUUUAACACCCUCAUUUAGUGAUGCAAAAAUACCUUCAACGCGAUUGCAAACUUUCAUGCAAGCCAUCAGAAAGGAGUACAAACCAUCUAAAAUCAAGCAGUGAAAUACAAACAGGUGUCCAGAUGUCAGCAAUGAACUGCAAAUUUUUCUUGCAUGGCGAUGAGCAAUUAGUCAAACUGAAG
rnacentral:misc_RNA from 1 species